AACGAACGCUGGCGGCAGGCUUAACACAUGCAAGUCGAGCGCCCCGCAAGGGGAGCGGCAGACGGGUGAGUAACGCGUGGGAAUCUACCCAUCUCUACGGAAUAACGCAUGGAAACGUGUGCUAAUACCGUAUACGUCCUUCGGGAGAAAGAUUUAUCGGAGAUGGAUGAGCCCGCGUUGGAUUAGCUAGUUGGUGGGGUAAAGGCCAACCAAGGCGACGAUCCAUAGCUGGUCUGAGAGGAUGAUCAGCCACACUGGGACUGAGACACGGCCCAGACUCCUACGGGAGGCAGCAGUGGGGAAUAUUGGACAAUGGGCGCAAGCCUGAUCCAGCCAUGCCGCGUGAGUGAUGAAGGCCCUAGGGUUGUAAAGCUCUUUCACCGGUGAAGAUAAUGACGGUACCGGGAGAAUAAGCUCCGGCUAACUCCGUGCCAGCCGCCGCCGUAACAC
rnacentral:rRNA from 1 species